GUUUAAUCAGCUGCCAGGCAGACUUCAAACAGCUGAUGCAUGUUAGGCUGAAAAUUUGCUGCAUCGUCUACAGAAGUUCUUAUGUACAAGAUGUGUUUAGAAACAGCUGAGGAUAAGGAGACUAGGAAGAAAUGAUAAGAAAAAAAGUGGGGGGUAUCCAGUGAAGAUAUUACAAGCUCCUGGAAUGAGAGAGAGAGUUCAUUGCCAUAAUGUGAUGCUGACAUGUGGGAAAGGAGAAAACAUCUGCUAAUGAAAUUGAGUGAACCAGAAGUUUAAAAUUUUAAAGACGUCUUGACAUAACCACUGAUAUAUUACUAGCUCAAUAACAGAAGAACAGGGUUCUGAGAGGGGAGAGGAAGAUUGCACCAUUGUGCUUCUCUAAAUGAAUGCCAUCCCACAAAAAAUGUAACACAGGACAUGAUUUAGAUCCAUUUGAAAAUUUGUGAGGCACGUGUGUCAAGCAUGCUAAGAAUAAAGCAACAAAUCCAUACA
rnacentral:lncRNA from 1 species